CUGGAGGAACUGCUGGGAACCGUAACUCAGGUGGGAGAGUCUGGGCCGGGGUUCUCCCAAAGUCCCCGGGAACCAUUUCUGACCUCUGGGCUGAUUUUGUUUCAGCCCUUCAACUGCAGCUAAAGAAUGAGGCAAAUUUCCCAAGUAGCAAACGAAUUUUCAAAGGAUGUCGGCUGAAAGUGGAAAGCUCGAUGUGGGUUGUCUGAAAGUUCACUCUGAACAUUCCACUCAGUGUCUUGCGUUUCUAUUACAAAUGCGCCAAAUGCUGCUAAUGUUUCCAUUAAGUAAGAAACGCAAUUAAAGUCACACGUGAGCAAGUCUGUUCACGUUUUAAGUCAUUAAAAAACACGCUGCGCUGCGAUCCUCUAACUACUUCCUGUUGUUUUCUUCUUCGUGGUUUGCGCCGGCGGCAACAUUCGGUUGUUGAUCGUGCGGCUCGUGUGACGCGACAGAAAGUGUUUCCGUUACAAUUUCGCAAAAUAAACCAAUUUCAAUACGGCCAAAAAAAAAAAAAAAUCACCUCGUCAAAGCGGCAAAAACCUUUUAGCGAAAAACGAGAGUUUGUUUGAAAUGAAACUGGCGAGUUUCCAGUCCAGUAAGCAAAUUUAAUUCUUUUUAAAUGUCAAAUUGCGCAAUUCCAUGGUCAAUGGAAAAACAACUGGGAAAAAUUAUGUUUUUGCUGGGAUUUUAUUCAAUUGGUUUUUAAUACCUUUCAAAAAUUUAUGGUGGUUACAAUUUUAUUUUAUUUAUUUAUUUAUUUUUACAAAACCCCAGGAGGAAACAGGUGGUCGACGCAGACGGAGACUUUUGUUUUAAAUUUGAGUAAAAGUAUCUUAUAACUACCUGCCCUGUGACCAUGGAUGGAUGGCUUAUGAGAUACUUUGUGUAAUUUUUUGUCUGAACCCCCCAAAAAACAACUCAAUUGUUUUUAAUACAUAUGUUGUGGAACAAGUUGAGAAAAUAAAGGAUGUGAAAAUUUACUGCGCCAGUUAAAGAAUAAGACAAAUUUCCAAGCUAGCAAGUGAAUGUGUUGGGAUCCGGACCUGUUCAUCCACCAGAGGGCGCUGGAGGCCUUGUUCCAUCUGAGGGCGUCUCCUGAACCACGCACCUGAAACCGUUCUGCCAUCAGGAGCUGUAUAACUGGAGGAGGCUGCUGACACUUCCCUGCCAGAUUGUUAGCUAGUUAUGGUACCGAUUCACUCCAGCUCUACUCUUCCUGUUUGCUUCCUGAAUUCUGAUCCACCUGUGUCUCUGACCUUUUUCAGCUGAUCGACCUGAGACGUGCUGAAGAUAGAUCCAGCCCAGGACCCCCUCCGAACCUACAGCUCGGCAGCCUGCUUCUGGCAGAACAGUUCAGACUUACCUGUCCGCCCUCCAACGCCGCCGCAGCCCGCAGCCCUCCGCGCCUCAAAACAGACUCCGGAUUUCCCAGGUUUUUCCCCCCAGUCCUUUCUCCUCCCGAUCGGAGCUGACCUGAGAUCCAGUCCCAAGCGCUCCCGGAUUGUUUAUCUGUUUUUUCCCCCUUCCCCUUGGUUGUAAUAAAUCUCUUUAAUCAA